AUUGAACGCUGGCGGCAGGCUUAACACAUGCAAGUCGAACGGUAGCAGGAGAAAGCUUGCUUUCUUGCUGACGAGUGGCGGACGGGUGAGUAAUGCUUGGGAAUCUGUCUUAUGGAGGGGGAUAACUACGGGAAACUGUAGCUAAUACCGCGUAGAAUCGGUAGAUGAAAGUGCGGGACCGCAAGGCCGCAUGCCAUGAGAUGAGCCCACGUGGGAUUAGGUAGUUGGUGGGGUAAGGGCCUACCAAGCCUGCGAUCUCUAGCUGGACUGAGAGGAUGGCCAGCCACACUGGAACGUAGACACGGUCCAGACUCCUACGAGAGGCAGCAGUGUGGAAUAGUGCGCAAAAGGGGGGACCCUGACGCAGCGGUGCCACGUGAAUGAAGGAGGCCUUCGGGUUGGAAAGUUCUUUCGGUGUUGGGGAAGGUCGAUGUGUUAAUAGGACGUCAAAUUGACGUUAAAUACAGAAGAAGCACCGGCUAACUCCGUG
rnacentral:rRNA from 1 species